CUUGGUCAUUUAGAGGAAGUAAAAGUCGUAACAAGGUUUCCGUAGGUGAACCUGCGGAAGGAUCAUUAUUGAAAUAAACCUGAUAAGUUGCUGCUGGUUCUCUAGGGAGCAUGUGCACACUUGUCAUCUUUGUAUCUUCACCUGUGCACCUUUUGUAGACCUGACUAUCUCUCUGACUGCUUUUUAGCACUCGGGAUUGAGGAUUGACUUUCUGUCUCUUCUUACAUUUUCAGGUCUAUGUUUCUUCAUAUACCCUAAUGCAUGUUUAUAGAAUGUAAUCAAUGGGCCUUUGUGCCUAUAAAUCUAUACAACUUUCAGCAACGGAUCUCUUGGCUCUCGCAUCGAUGAAGAACGCAGCGAAAUGCGAUAAGUAAUGUGAAUUGCAGAAUUCAGUGAAUCAUCGAAUCUUUGAACGCACCUUGCGCUCCUUGGUAUUCCGAGGAGCAUGCCUGUUUGAGUGUCAUUAAUAUAUCAACCUUCUUUGGUUGGAUGUGGGUUUGCUGGCUUCCUUGAGGUCAGCUCUCCUUAAAUGCAUUAGCGGACAACAUUUUGCCCACUGUUCAUUGGUGUGAUAAUUAUCUACGCUAUUGACAUGAAGCAAUGUUCAGCUUCUAACAGUCCAUUGACUUGGACAAAUUUAAUUUUAUUAAUGUGGCCUCAAAUCAGGUAGGACUACCCGCUGAACUUAAGCAUAUCAAUAAGCGG
rnacentral:rRNA from 1 species